GAUGAACGCUGGCGGCGUGCCUAAUACAUGCAAGUCGAGCGAACAGACGAGGAGCUUGCUCCUCUGACGUUAGCGGCGGACGGGUGAGUAACACGUGGAUCACCUACCUAUAAGACUGGGAUAACUUCGGGAAACCGGAGCUAAUACCGGAUAAUAUAUUGAACCGCAUGGUUCAAUAGUGAAAGACGGUUUUGCUGUCACUUAUAGCUGGAUCCGCGCCGCAUUAGCUAGUUGGUAAGGUAACGGCUUACCAAGGCAACGAUGCGUAGCCGACCUGAGAGGGGGAUCGGCCACACCGGAACUGAGACACGGUACAGACUCCUACGGGAGGCAGCAGUAGGGAAUCUUCCGCAAUGGGCGAAAGAUUGACGGAGCAACGCCGCGUGAGUGAUGAAGGUCUUCGGAUCGUAAAACGCUGUUAUUAGGGAAGAACAAAUGUGUAAGUAACUAUGCACGUCUUGACGGUACCUAAUCAGAAAGCCACGGCUAACUACGUG
rnacentral:rRNA from 1 species